rfam:Canis lupus familiaris chromosome 6, whole genome shotgun sequence.
AGGAGGAACAACCCCAGUGGCUGCGGCAGCUCUGGAAACCUGGAUUCAGCUCCCGCAGUAACUAUGGAGCUCUCCGUCUGCAGGGGCCUGGAUGCUCCUGUGGCCGG